GAUGAAGAACGCAGCAAAAUGCGAUAAGUAGUGUGAAUUGCAGAAUUCAGUGAAUCAUCGAAUCUUUGAACGCACAUUGCGCCCCUUGGUAUUCCAUGGGGCAUGCCUGUUCGAGCGUCAUUUGUACCUUCAAGCUCUGCUUGGUGUUGGGUGUUUGUCUCGCCUCUGCGUGUAGACUCGCCUUAAAACAAUUGGCAGCCGGCGUAUUGAUUUCGGAGCGCAGUACAUCUCGCGCUUUGCACUCAUAACGACGACGUCCAAAAGUACAUUUUUACACUCUUGACCUCGGAUCAGGUAGGGAUACCCGCUGAACUUAAGCAUAUCAAUAAGCGGAGGA
rnacentral:misc_RNA from 1 species